UGAGGAAUAUUGGUCAAUGGGGGGAACCCUGAACCAGCCAUCCCGCGUGCAGGAAGACAGUUCUAUGGAUUGUAAACUGCUUUUCUUGGGGAAGAAUAAUGACGACGUGUCGUCAGAUGACGGUACCCGAGGAAUAAGCAUCGGCUAACUCCGUGCCAGCAGCCGCGGUAAUACGGAGGAUGCAAGUGUUAUCCGGAUUUAUUAGGUUUAAAGGGUGUGUAGGCGGAUGUAUAAGUCAGUGGUGAAGGUCAGCAGCUUAACUGUAGAAUUGCCAUUGAUACUGUAUGUCUUGAGUGUGGUUGAGGUAUGCGGAAUGUGUAAUGUAGCGGUGAAAUGCUUAGAUAUUACACAGAACACCAAUUGCGAAGGCAGCUUACUGAGCUAUAACUGACGCUGAUGCGCGAAAGCGUGGGGAGCGAACA
rnacentral:rRNA from 1 species